rnacentral:lncRNA from 1 species
UCAACCCAAUUCCAAUAAUAGCUUCCAUCACUCUGAUUCCUUUGCAAUCCAACAAGAGGAUAAUACUACUUCUGGUUCUAUUGGAGACGAUGAGUUUGAGCGAGGCUCAUCGGUUAUCAGCAGAGAAGAAGAAGAUUGUGGCAGUGAACCUGAAGCAAAGAGAUGGUAAGAUCAUCCAUCAAUGUCUAAAUUCGUCACUCUUUAAACAACCUAGAAUGAGAAAGUUUCUAACAUUCUUAAUGUUUGUUUUUUUGUGUGUUUUAGGAAAGGAGAACAUGAAACAAACGGUGGGAAUGGUAAUGGAAGUAAGACAGUGAGAGAGCCAAGAAUUGUCGUGCAGACAACAAGUGACAUCGACAUUCUUGAUGAUGGUUACAGAUGGAGAAAAUACGGCCAAAAGGUCGUCAAGGGAAACCCAAAUCCAAGGUAAUAACAUAAAGAUUUGAACUUCUCACUAAUUACAAUUAAUCAAGGCUCUAAGAAUCUAACAUUUGAUGUUUCUUUUGACUUGAUGAAUCUAACAGAAGCUACUACAAGUGCACAACCAUCGGUUGCCCCGUGAGAAAACAUGUUGAGAGAGCAUCACACGAUCUGAGAGCGGUAAUAACAACCUACGAAGGGAAACAUAACCACGACGUACCUGCAGCUCGUGGUAGCGGUUACGCCACAAACAGACCGUCACAGGAUUCUUCUUCAGCCCCAAUUAGACCAGCUGCUAUUGCUGGUCACUCCAAUUACACUACUUCUUCUCAAGCACCAUAUACGCUUCAGAUGCUGCAGAACAACACUAAUUCCGGGAGUUUUGGUUACGCUAUGAACAAUAAUAACAACAACCUUCAAACGCAACAAAACUUUGGUGGUGGUGGUGGGUUCUCUAGAGCAAAGGAAGAACCAAACGAGGAGUCCUCGUUUUUUGAUUCGUUUUUGUCGUGAAGAAGAACCUAUCUUUCCUUUUGUACAUUUCUGCCAGAAAAGGGUUUAUCUACUUACUAGUAAUCCUGCAGAUACUAAGACUAUAGGCUAUAGUCCAUAGAGAAAUUAUUUCAUUUGUUUUUUUUCCGUGGCUCUUGCGAGCUUUCACACGCCUGUAAUAUCUUUACUGUUUUUGUACCAUACAAGUAGAAAAAUGGAAUAAAGCCAGUCAAUUUUCACAUGUUUUCACUUUGUAUAAUAAUGUAUCAAAAGAAUAACACACACACAGUUCAAAGACGCGAAUAACAGAAGCAGUACUGUCUUGAUCAGUAUCAGCUAUAUGAACACAUAUAAAAGAAUGAGAUUUACACGUAUUGCAGAGAUGACCACGGUAUAAAAACGAUUGAAAGCACAUAUUGCAGAGAGAGGCUUGAAGCGGAUUCAGAUAAAAGAAUGAGUGGAGAGUUUGUAACCAGAGAGGAGAGCAGAGAGAGCUAAAGAGACGAAGGCGAAGAUAGCCAUGCUGAUAGCUGAAGCAGCGGAAUCAGUGAAUAUGUUAUCUUGACCUUCUCUGAAUCUGUUGGUCAAUGGAAUUGCAGAAGACGCAGCUGAUAUGAGAAGAUACGCAACAAUCUGCAAUUACAAAAAAAACAAAACUUUUUAACUGUUUUACGAAAAAGUGAUCCUCUUUUCAAUUUCUUUACAGUUUCGGUAUCUUCGUUACCUGGUCGCCGGAGAAAUCGAGCAAGAUGGAAGUCCGGCGAUCGAAGAAUUCCCUUUUCGAGAAAUGAGCAAACGUUUGCCACGCAGUGUAUAAUGUUGAAAUUAUCGCAAUCGCCAAUACAUAUCUGAAGAAAAUAAAAAAACUUGAGAGUCGAAAAAUGAGAAAUCUCAAAACUUUAACAGAAAUUCCCCGUGAAUUUCAAAACCCAAGUAUCAAAAUCGAUCAUUUCUGUAUCGGAAUUAAUGGAAUCGGACCUGUACUCUUCGUAAUCGUCGAAGUUUCGGCCGUAUCCAUGUUUAUUAGAUACCAUAAUAAUGAAUGCAAGGAGAGAGAACAAGAGACACACUCCUCUCAUAAUCGGAGACGCUUUCUUUAUCAAAUCCUCCCUUUUCCAUCUCUGAGUAAUCGCAGAAAACGACGACGUCUUAGUCUCCGUCGUCUCCGCCGGUGCCUCCACGUCGGCGGCAACUUCAACCGGUUUCUGGUUAUCGGGAUUUGUCAUGCCGAGAAUUCUCCGAUAGAUCUCAAAACUCCGAUCGGAAUCGGUUUGCUUUCAGUUCUUAUGAAUGCGAAGAAUCGGGAGAAGGGAUAACAAACUUGGAAGAAAAGAAAACUCCAAAUUUUUUGGUUGUAAAAAUAUGAUUUAAGGUUUGGGGUUUUAUUAAGCUAAAUGAGGAAAGCGCGUAACGGCGGGAGUGAUUAAGUUAAUGAAAGUGAUUAAACAGUUUAUGAAGCGCACGGCGCGUAACAAAAAGAUUCAUUUACAAAGCGUAUAAGUUAGUCGUGGCCUGCAUUUACAGACAGCGAAUCCUAGGAAUCUCAUUGGCGGACUAAAAAAUAAAAAUAAAAAAUUCGGUUAAACUUUGUUUUCCCAAUAAAAAAUCCUGACUCUUCUAAAGACUGAAGAGAAACAUAAAAUCCGUGUAAAAGAAGAAAAAUCGUUGUGUUUAAUUAGGGACGUUAAAGAAUAAUUAUAUUUACCAUGAAUUUGUUUGGAGAGUAUUUUCUAGAAACAUUGAAUAUUUGUCGUUUUAUUGUAAGUUUGAUGAAUACGGUGAUUAUCAUUAACUCAUCCUAUAAAUAUCAAGCCAUAUGUAAUUUGAGAAGUUGUGAUGCAUGUUACAUAAAUUUCAUGCAAAGAAGAAUUCGUGUUCCACAAGUUCAAGAAAUAUAUAGUUUAGAAAGUUUUAGGGUCUUUAUGACCAUAAAAAAGUUAUAGGGUCUUUAGAUAAAUUAUUAUAGGCUGUCAUUUGUUUCUUUUUUUGUUUUUGUUUUGGUUAAAACACUAAGUUUUUCUUCAUGACGAUUAUCUCUUUGGUCGUAUCUCGAAUCAAACUCGAUUUUAAGAUUGUAAACCUAGUAAAUCAGAUAUAGUGUACUAUAGAAUUAAGAUUUUGUGCGGACGUUGCAUGAUAAAUUCAUAGAUUAUCAAUGUUGUUUUAGAAAUAGAUUUAUGCUAACAUUCUGUACUUUCAAGAAGAAUUCGAUCAGGAAGAUCGUUAUAUAUACAAGCUUUCAAAACUACGAUAUAAUUCUAAUUUACUAAUUACAAGAAAGCACAAGUUUAGUUUAGCAAAAAAAAAAAGAAAAGAAAGCACAAGUCGUAUGUUUUGUUGGUUUGUCAAUGAUAGAUGAACUUCUCGCAUACUUAAAAACAAAGCAAACAAAAAAAACUACUUUACGGGGGAGAUUAGUUAUUUCGAAACUCAAGACAGUAGGUCAGGGUUAUAAUAGUUCAACAAAGUUUACAACAAGUGGAGUUCUCAAUUUUUAAGGAAGUUUAAUGAUGGAUAACAUCGUGUCCUGGACUCCUGGUUACGUUUUGAAUACAAGACCUUGACUAAGUCUACCACACUCUUGUAGUCUUCAGUAUGUUGUUUCAGAAUAUUGUUAACGACUUGGAGAACUUUAGAACUCGGCUUAGACCAAAAAAAAAAAACUUUAGAACUCGGCGUGUCAGAUUUUGCAUUGACCACCAUUAGAUAUGCUUAUCAGCAGGCAUCACAUCGAUUUGUGGCAUUGUAAGAUGUUUGAAAUUUUAAUUUAAUGUAAAUUCAUUUUACCAAACAUAAUUUAACUUUGAUUAAUUCUUAAAGAGCGUAAUUGUUUUUCAAUGCCAUAUGUGUGAUAACCUACAAAGUCUUUCAUAUUUUUUAUUAUUAAAUGCUCCAUUAUUUAAUUUAAAGGAACAUUAAGUCGGAAAAAUCAACCUUCUUACACAAAUAACAAAGGAAAAAUCUUACGUCAAUUUAUAUCUUAUCUCAUAAUAUUUUUUAAUAUAUAUAUAUAUAUAUAAUGUUCAACCAAAAAAAUAUAAAAUAUAAAUUAAUCCUGUCUUUGGCUUAUACCGAUAACAUGCAUGUAAUAUUAAAUUUGAGCUAAGGUGAAUGUUAUAAUUUGAUGUAGCUUGUAGUAAAAAAAAUUAAAGAAAUUUAUUGUUUCUUUCCUCUUAAAUCACACGAUAUAAUUUUAAAAACUGGACUAAUUUUUAUUCUUAUAAUUAGAUAUAAAAAAGCAAAAAUCAACUCAACCUUUCAUACAUAUGGUUUUCUAUAAUGCUGAAUUAACUUUUGAAUUAUCAAGUUUAUAAAAAAAAUACAUAAUUCAAAACUGUAAACUAGCCAUCACACAUUAUAACACAAAUUUAAUGAUUGAUAACAUUUUCUUACAUCAAUAAGUCAAAUUAAAUUAAAGAUAUCACAUGCUAUGCUAUUAAUCACACCCUUUAUUUACUGUAUCUCGACAUAUGUCAUAUGUAAGUUAUUGCAGAAAAUAUAUAUUAAAUAAGGGAUAUUUUGAAAAAAAAUUAUGUAUUUGGAUAAACCUAAAACGAAGGGGGCGCAUCAAAGGCACCACCGACUAAAUAACAAUAGGUUUGGGAUCAUAUUAGACCCAGCCCCGAUUCACCGUCCGGUUCUCCUUUCUCUUCAUCGUCAUCAAUCUUUCGUUUUCCUGUUUACGGUUUCUUCGCUGCCAAGAAUCGAACGACGCGAAUUGGAUCCGAAUCUCAAAUCUGCACUCCAACUCCAAUCACGAGCCCUUUGCUUUUCCCCGAUUAUCUCCUUUUGAUAUCGGUAAGUUUCCUUGUCUCUCUCUGCCCACUAUCUCUCUUGAGUCGUUCACAUUGCACCGUGACUUAAUUCGAGCUCGCUCCCGAACUGGGUUUCCCUGGUUCUGGUCGCUAAUUGUAUAAAUCGAAUCGAUUUUUCCAUUUUUGAAUGUGGGCGGUCUUCAAUUUGAUUCGAUUGUUCGUGCAUUAGGUGUUUUGUUGAUUCUCCAAGCCCUAAAUUUUUGCUGAAGUUCUUUGAGCUGGGGCUAGUAUACUUCGAUGGUAUACAACCUGGAAGGGAGAAUAAGGUUAGGGUUUUCUGUCGUGAGCACAUCCCCUGAGUUUCCGAGUUUAGGGUUUUUUUUUUGGAAUUGAUUCGGUCUGCUAAGAAGAAGAAAAGGGUUGGUUUGAGAGGAUAAUGUGUAUAUUGUGUGUUAUUCAAAAGUGGUCUCGCCGGGUUGCAACGAUGCUGCCUUGGUUGGUUUUACCGUUGAUUGGACUAUGGGCUCUGUCUCAGCUUCUUCCACCAGCUUUUCGUUUCGAAAUAACUUCUCCGAGGCUAGCUUGUGUAUUUGUGCUUUUGGUUACUUUGUUCUGGUACGAGGUCUUGAUGCCUCAGCUAUCUACUUGGCGGGUGCGGAGAAAUGCUCGUCUUAGGGAGAGAAAGCGAUUUGAAGCUAUGGAGCUGCAAAAGCUAAAGAAAACCGCUACACGGCGUUGCCGUAACUGCUCAACACCUUACCGUGACCAGAAUCCAGGUGGUGGACGGUUUAUGUGCUCAUAUUGUGGGCAUAUAUCUAAGAGGCCUGUUUUAGACAUACCUGUGCCUCCAGGGUUAGGGCUUUCUGGUUCUGGAAUUUUGAAGGAUCUUGUUGGAAGAGGUGGUAAGAUGUUGAAUGGAAAGGGAUGGAAUGAGAAUGGAUGGAUGCACGGGCCAGAAUGGUCAGAAAACAGCACAUGGACUAGCGAGUCAACCUAUUGGCGGAAUAAUAGUGGUAGUACAUUUGGAGAAGAUGAGAAUUGUUUGGGGGAUAGAUCAUAUCCUGGUGGCGUUGUUUUUGCUUGCCGACUCCUUACUUCUUUUUUUAUGAGCAUUAGGUGGCUUUGGAGAAAGAUUUUUAGCUUUAGCUCUUCGGUUGAUGAGUCGUCAACUGAUGCUGACCAGAGGCGAUUACUGUCGAGACAGGGUGAGAAUGGGACCAGCUAUCAUGAGAGCAGGGUUGAGAAAGCACGCAGAAAAGCUGAGGAGAAAAGACAAGCUAGGCUGGAAAAGGAGCAUUUGGAGGAAGAAGAGAGAAAACAACGAGAGGAAGUCGCGAGACUAGUGGAGGAACGGAGGAAGUUGAGAGAUGAAAAAAUUGAAGCCGAGAAAUGCAGCAAAUCAUCACCUGGUUCCAAGGAAAAGGAUAUUAAAAAAGAGGCAGAAAAGAAGCGCCAGGAGAGGAAGAAGGAAAAAGAUAAGACCUCUAGUAAGAGCAAUUCCGAUGCAGAAGAGCUUGACAAGAGAAUAGGAAAGGAAACUGAGCAUAAGCGUGAGCUUGAUAAGAAUAAUCAUUCCGAACAUCAGAGGCAUGCGUCUGAUAAUUCCAGGAGCCCCAUGGAAAGGAGACAUGGGCACGGGGUAGAUAAUAAUGGUACUAGUAACACUAACACGACAGGAGCUGGCGGUAGGUACUUUGAUCGAGUGAAGGGUACGUUCUUCUCUUCUUCUAAGGCUUUUACAGAUAACCGGUUCUUUGGAAGAGGUGUCAAUAUGUCUGCUACAAUUGCAAAAGAGAAUAAGCCCAUCGGCUCUACAGAUCAUUCUCAUGCAUCUGCUCAUACGAGGCAUAUUAAUCCUCCUGAAUUUGUGGCUGGAAAAUCUGGUUCAAAUGGAGGAGAAAGGAAUACUAAUCGUCCUGUAAGUGUUCUUGCCAAAUUGCUUAUGUCAUUAUGAUCCGGUUCAUGAAAGCAGUCUACUUUUUUGCAGUUAUAAAUCACCCGUCUCUUUUGAUUUCAUCUAUUUUUUGUUUGUUAAGUUGAUAAGUUUGUCAUAUAAUUUUCCAAAGUCGUUAUGUUCUUGAAGUAUGUUCAACUUAGAUUUGGUUCUAGUUUUCUUCAGCUUGUUUUAUAAGGACACUGAUAAAUAUUAUGAUGUUCCCUCAGGUUAUUACUGAGCCGCAGCCAAGUGGAGAACCUAAAAAGUCAUGGCAGCAACUAUUCACCCGUUCGCCGUCUGUGCCUGCUUCCUCCAGUGUUAAUGUUAUAAGCCGACCUAGUACAAAGCCCAAAACCGUUCAGAAUUCACAGGCUCCUUGUCAAGAUCAUUCAAUACGAACCUUUGACAAUCCAAUCAGUUUUGGGCUCCCAUCACCAUUCACUAUGCCAACAUACUCUAGCGGAUCGACUAUCGGUAGCUUAGGUUUCUCAUCUGAAAGAGAUAUUGUUCUCUCUCAGGCUGGGGAAAAUGCUCGUCCUUUUAUCCCCGAAGAAGAGCAUUUUGAAGAUCCAUGUUAUGUUCCGGAUCCAAUAUCUCUACUGGGACCUAUUUCAGAAUCACUUGAUCUAAGAGCUAAGUUUGAAACUGGUGUUGGACUGGAAAAACCCCAUUUAUUGAAGAAAUCUCCGAUUGAGUCUCCCUUGUCAAGAUUACGAGUUGCAGAUGAAAAACAGGUUAAUGAUGGAAGCUGGCAAAUGUGGAAGACCACCUUUGGCCAAGACCUACUUCUACCUUCAGAUAAUACUAGACCUAACGAGGAG